UGCGCAGGCGGUUAUAUAAGACAGAUGUGAAAUCCCCGGGCUCAACCUGGGAACUGCAUUUGUGACUGUAUAGCUAGAGUACGGCAGAGGGGGAUGGAAUUCCGCGUGUAGCAGUGAAAUGCGUAGAUAUGCGGAGGAACACCGAUGGCGAAGGCAAUCCCCUGGGCCUGUACUGACGCUCAUGCACGAAAGCGUGGGGAGCGAACA
rnacentral:rRNA from 1 species